rnacentral:rRNA from 1 species
GAUGAACGCUGGCGGCGUGCUUAACACAUGCAAGUCGAGCGAUGAAGUUUCCUUCGGGAAACGGAUUAGCGGCGGACGGGUGAGUAACACGUGGGUAACCUGCCUCAUAGAGUGGAAUAGCCUUCCGAAAGGAAGAUUAAUACCGCAUAAUGUUGAAAGAUGGCAUCAUCAUUCAACCAAAGGAGCAAUCCGCUAUGAGAUGGACCCGCGGCGCAUUAGCUAGUUGGUGGGGUAACGGCCUACCAAGGCGACGAUGCGUAGCCGACCUGAGAGGGUGAUCGGCCACAUUGGGACUGAGACACGGCCCAGACUCCUACGGGAGGCAGCAGUGGGGAAUAUUGCACAAUGAGGGCAACCCUGAUGCAGCAACGCCGCGUGAGUGAUGAAGGUUUUCGGAUCGUAAAGCUCUGUCUUUGGGGAAGAUAAUGACGGUACCCAAGGAGGA